UACGGAGGGUGCAAGCGUUAAUCGGAAUUACUGGGCGUAAAGCGCACGCAGGCGGGAAAUUAAGUCAGAUGUGAAAGCCUGUAGCUUAACUUGGGAACUGCAUCUGAAACUGGUUGACUAGAGUCUUGUAGAGGGGGGUAGAAUUCCAUGUGUAGCGGUAAAAUGCGUAGAGAUGUAGAGGAAUACCGGUGGCGAAGGCGGCCCCCUGGACCAAGACUGACGCUCAGGCGCGAAAGCGUGGGGAGCAAACAGG
rnacentral:rRNA from 1 species